rnacentral:misc_RNA from 1 species
GACUCGCAGGUGUGCAAGCCC